rnacentral:rRNA from 1 species
CCCUUUGUAUUAUCAAAACCUCUGUUGCCUCGGGGGCGACCCGGCCGUCCGCGGCGGGGGCCCCCGCUGGUCCAACCCAUCAAACUCUGCAUCUCUGCGUCUGAGUAAUAAAGUAAAUCAAUUAAAACUUUCAACAACGGAUCUCUUGGUUCCAGCAUCGAUGAAGAACGCAGCGAAAUGCGAUAAGUAAUGUGAAUUGCAGAAUUCAGUGAAUCAUCGAAUCUUUGAACGCACAUUGCGCCCCCUGGCAUUCCGGGGGGCAUGCCUGUUCGAGCGUCAUUACACCACUCAAGCCUGGCUUGGUAUUGGGCGCCGGGGUUUGUCCGCGCGCCUCAACGUCUCCGGCUGAGCCGCCCGUCUCUAAGCGUUGUGGUAAAACGUCCGCUUGUGAGAUUGGAGGGCGUCGGCCGUUAAACCUCUUUCAAAGGUUGACCUCGGAUCAGGUAGG